UGGGAACUCACACAUUACCAGGAGGACAGC
rnacentral:piRNA from 1 species